rnacentral:rRNA from 1 species
UACAGAGGUCUCAAGCGUUGUUCGGAUUCAUUGGGCGUAAAGGGUGUAUAGGUGGCGCGCUAAGUCGGGUGUGAAAUUUCGGAGCUUAACUCCGAAACUGCAUUCGAUACUGGCGUGCUUGAGGACUGGAGAGGAGACUGGAAUUCAUGGUGUAGCAGUGAAAUGCGUAGAGAUCAUGAGGAAGACCAGUGGCGAAGGCGGGUCUCUGGACAGUUCCUGACACUGAGACACGAAGGCCAGGGGAGCAAACGGG